UACGUAGGGUGCAAGCGUUGCCCGGAUUUAUUGGGCGUAAAGGGCGCGUAGGCGGCUACGCACGUCCGUUGUGAAAUCGCCCGGCUCAACUGGGCGGGGUCGGCGGAUACGGCGUAGCUUGAGCAAGCUAGGGGGCAAUGGAAUUCCCGGUGUAGUGGUGGAAUGCGUAGAUAUGCGGAGGAACACUGAUGGCGAAGGCAAUCCCCUGGGCCUGCACUGACGCUCAUGCACGAAAGCGUGGGGAGCAAACAGG
rnacentral:rRNA from 1 species